AAAAGUACUUAAAAACACCUGGAAUAAGCUAAUCCAAACAGGCUCUUAAGUUCGUCUCUCUCUCCACGAGUCGGAGCGCAUCUUUGUGCUCUAUUUUUUUUUUUUUUCCGGAGAUAGAGAAAUUGAUGAUAUGGUAGUCUUCAAGGUAUUGGUUUUCUCAUGGCUGGAGCAGACUAUAUAACGAUUGAUGCUAUUGAAGGUCAGCAAGUCCCUUUACGCGCAUUGCGUUCAAAUGUCGUGAAGUUGUUAGAGGUGGAACAGAGAAGCGAUGCAAUAGACUUUGAGAUACUUGACUUGGAACUAUGAGGGCACAAGGUCAUAUCUGAACUAGACAAGAAUAUGGCAUUCACAGGAGGAAUUAGCAUGUACCUAACCACCAAAAUACCGCCUUUUCCAUCUCUAUUCUAUUGAUGUGCUUAUUUUUGGCAUUAUCGUUCAUUCACGUCAGCAUGGCAAAAUCAAGGAUUACAGGUAUGAAUAUGAUCAUCAAGAUUUUGACGAAAAGACAUAAAAAGGUGAGAGUCGACGCAAGAAGUCUAAUGGAAUUGGAAAAAAGCAUGAAUAGAAGGCUAGCAGCAAAUGUCGUGGAUAACAUUGAAGAUCCUGUCGUGAAAAUGGAGUCUUUUAUUGCCGGAACUAAGACUACAUGUGCUACAGAUUCUUCUGACUUUGAGAAAUUUUCGUCUUGGUCGAUUGGAGGUAUCUACAUUCCUGCUGUGCUGCUCAUGUCAUAUUUCAACUAUUACUACGUUACAGGACAGGAUUGCGCGUCUCCAAACAAGCUGUCUUUUGAUGUAUGAGAUGUUCAAGUUCUGCAUCAGUUCUAGUCGUAGUGACAGCAGAUCAGCAGUUUCAUUAGAUGAGAUAUAAAUACUUUUGUCGUGACAGUGAUCUUUGCUUUUUGCUGAAAAAUGCAAAGCAUUAUCAUAUCAAUUGCUGUUUGAUGGGGGUUGGGUAUUGGGGUUUGACUCAUCUGCCUGAUUCUCGACUGUUAAUACAGCUAAUGUCAGCAUGUGACGGGUGUUUAUGCUUUUGCCUGCUUUUGUUCUAAAUAAAAGCCUUCAACUCCCGAAAACCAUACACGUUAAAUCGCUAAUAUGUUCACUUAUGCUAAUUUGCAAAAUCUUUCUUGAUUCGUUUUCGUCCGUGUAUGUUCUAUAGCUGGUCAGAUGGUCUGGUUAAAGUUUUAAUGGGUAUCUGCACCAAUUAGCAUUUCUAUGCAAAAACUUUGUUACUAUGCUUUAUUAAUGGAACUUUCCUAAUCUCAGGUCAUUGAUCAAGUCUUACUCUCGUCGUUUUGAUUUGGUGCUUAGCAAUUAAAAUUCCUCUAUGCUUCUGGACCACAAAUAGGUCAUUUGGGCUAUAAGUUUUGCAAUAGUUACAGGGCAAAACUCUUCUUUGCGGAGCAUGUCUGUUUGUUCAAGUUCUAUUGGAGGGGUAAAUCUUGCCAUGUUAACAAUUAUGCUGGGCUGCCAUAACUUUGGUACAGAGUAUUUACAAGUCUUGUAGGAUGAGCAAGAUUUUGUAUUGUCGUCAUUCUACUUAUUUUAUUAAAUUGUUAACAAGUUUUGUCGAUUAACAAAACUUCCCUAGCAAUUAAGAGUUGCAUCAAUGACGCUUAUAACUUAAGGGAAGGCAACAAGCUGCUAUUAAAUUUGGUGAGACGAGGGGCAUUAGCCAAAGAAGUCGCACGUUUGACUACAUGUUCCCUUUAUAAAUAUUUUGGCUGAGAACCAUUCGAAUUUCGAAGUAAUGGAAUGGAAUAACUAGUAAUGGUCUUAGAAUGCAUAGAGAUUCAUCUCCCUGAGUAUUCUUCUAAGUAUAGAAAAAUAUUCUUACUGAUAAUAUGUCCGCUCAACCAGAACAUUAAUAGCUCUUUCAAUAUGUCUAAGCAUAAUGUUGCAUCUUACCAGUCACUCUGUUGAUAUAUAUACAUGUCUUUUUAAGUUCUCCACCUGAGAGUAAACCAUCUGUAAGUGUCACCUUAUAAACCUAUAAGGCAUUUUCUUUUAGUAGUAUUUUUUUGAGAGCCCUUAUAUAUUACUCCCUCCGUCACAUAAUAAGUGUCAUCUUAGGAAAUCAAGACAUAAAUUGACUAGUUUUUUUCAAAUCUACCCUUAGACAAUAAAGUAACAUCUAAAUGAUGAUUGAAAAAGUCACAUAGUAACUUGGUAUUGUUGGAUUGUAUUGUUGGAUUCCCAAUGUCAAAAGAUUUACUUCUUGUGCAUGCUCUUAUCAAAAGGUAAAAGUAAUUUAUUUAUAAUUUGAUAAAUUUUACAUUACAUUAUUGAUUUCUUAAUAUGUGUGUUUUUGGCUAAGAUGACACUUAUUAUGGGACGGAGGGAGUAUAUUCUUAUGUGUGUAUUACUAUGUGUUGCUCAUUUGUUUGGUGUCUUGAUAUUUUACUGUCUUAUUUCUCUUGCAAUCCUGCAUUGACUACGUUUCUUUUGAGCUGAACGUCUAUCGGAAACAGCCUCUCUAUCCCAUAAAGAUAGAGGUAAGGUCUGCGUACACCCUACCCUCCCCAGACCCCACUUGUGGGAUUACACUGGGUAUGUUGUUGUUGUUGUUGUAAACAUAUAAGGCGUUAGGUGCAACUGAUGGAAGGACCUCAUGAGAAAAUUACCCAAUUUUAUAUAUAAAGAAAGAAAAAUUGGAGGUAAGCUGGUUUUCAGACAUCUUUUAUGAGGAAAAUGUAUAAGGUAAAAAAUGGGUAAAGCUGUAAGCAAAAAUUAGGAGAUUUUCUUACAGAUGACAUUUGCAUUUUGUAGAAGAACUCCUUAUUUGUCUUUCCAUUUUGGCUGGACACUGUAAUGGUUCUACUUGUGUAUGCUCUCUAGUUAUUGUCUAUCCAUAUUAGCUCCGUUUGGAAUCAAAUGGUUGAAAUUCAAAGAUUUCUCACCUCUCGUUUUGCUUACGUGAUUUUACUGUUUCACACCACUAUUUCAUUGGAUCCGAAUACUCCAUUGCACUGUCCUUUAUUGCUCUUAAGUCUUGCCUUUAAAUCCACCAACAACACUAAAAUUAAGUAGAUAACACAUUUCAGGCCCUGCAAUAGAAUAAGUUUGUUGUUUGUUCUUUUAGAAAGUUGUCAAUGUUAACUUUUAGUGGAUAUGCACCCAUUGGCUACCAACCUUGAGUUCCCUUUUGACCGUGUUAAUUAAUUUAGAGUUUUUUAGCUGCUUGACUAUAUCUUUCGAUUGCUCAGGAAUUUGUGAAAAGUACCAAUUUGAUCAAAAGUCACUAAAAAUGAUAACAAGUGCUGAGGACCAUUGGAGUCUUAAGUGAAAAUUACAAAUGCAGUGCAAGUAUUAAUGAAGAAAGACACAAUUGAAGCAAAAAAUUUAAAGAAUGUGUGUCUGAUUUAAGAAUAAUAACUGUAGAUAUAAAGUAUAUGGACAAAGUACUAGAGAAUAAUUAAGUGAAAGAGUUAUAUUUAGUGUUGCCCUUGUCAAGACAAAGCUCAUGGGUAAUGAGACACACACCUUUAAAUGUCUUAGUGCCUGAAGUCCUGAACUGAAGUGUUGCUUAAGCAAGAUGAAGUGCUAAGCGUAUUUGGCACCUAACUUGAGGGCUUAAGCGUCUCUCUAGCGAGUCUUUUACAACACUGCUUUUAUCCGGGGUCUUUUAUUUGUGUUGACACAUUUUAUGUGUUUGAAUCUAGUAUUUCUAUUAACUCUGUCGUAUUAGUCUUAUGAGAACACCUAAAAAUAUAUAUUUUCUUUGCAUUUCACGUGUCAGGUUCGUCAUGCUUUCCUUGUGUUCUAUUUCCUACUAUUCCUACACAAGUUUUUCAUGGCAACCUUAAUGUUUAUUGACCAAGACAGGCAUGGGGAAGUGAUAUGUGGUAUCUGUCCAUCCUCUGGAAACUUAGUCACCAGGUUAUAGACACAAGACAAUAGUAUAUUAAGCUCAAUAAGUCAAUGAGGGUGUCUGCUUGAUAGUUCAACAGAUGUUGCUCAUACUACCAGUUCACCCAAAGCAUUGCUGCUAUUAUCUGUUACAAAUUUACAUGUAUUUGUUAGCUAACAUUAUUGACUCUUAAGGUUAAAUUAUAUUUUAAAGCAACUAUUGAUGUGAGUGACUAAGACUCAAGAUUCUUCUGUAGACUUUUUUCGCUUUAAUUUAGUCCAAAUGUCUUUCUAGCGAUAGUUAAGAAAGAUGGAGAUAUUACAGCUGGUAGGGAAAAUGUACUUUGUCAGAUGUUCUAGAGAGCUAUCUUUAUUGUGACUUUCGUAGCACUUAGUUCAUGGGUGCAUAAUAGACUUUGUAGACAACCUUAUUUAUUUAUCUUCUGGAAUGAAUUCCCUACUUCCACUGCUUAAACUUUAUGCACUUUUAUGUUUAAUUCAGUAAGAGUAUGAACAUCAUUUUGUUUUCGUUAUACAUGAAAAAGAAUUAUAUUGUCAUUCAUUUGUAAAGCUGGAAAAGUUAUAGAAACAUACGUUUCUUUCCUUAUGGUGAAACUUUCUCUUUUUGGUUUGUCAUAGUUUGUCUUUGAGUUGCUGCUUGGGUUUGGGAAAUUGAUUUUAGUGUUUGACUAGGUUGACUACAAAUUUGCAUAUUGUGUUUCUGACUGGAAUAGGAGAUAGAUAAUUUGAUGAUAUUGGAAGUCUUCAAGGUAUUGGCUUUCUCAUGGCUGGCACAGACUAUAUAACUAUUGAUGCUAUUGAAGGUCGGCAAGGUAUUGGACCAAUUGGCUUAGACAUGUCCAUAUGAUAAAUAUUACAGUUCUCGUCUAUGAUAUACUGAAAUUUAAUUCUCUCAAGUUGUCUGCUUUUUUUUUGUUUUUUCUACUCUUUUUUAAAUUUGGUAGUCCCUUUACGCACAUUGCGUUCAAAUGUCAUGAAGUUGUUAGAGGUGGAACAGAGAAGCGAUGCAAUAAACAAGCAGAAAUUUGACUUGGAACUACAAGCCGGCAAGGUCAUAUCUGAACUAGACAAGAAUAUCCGCUUUCUUAUGGUGUUCACAGGAGGAAUGAGCAUGUACCUAACCACCAAAAUACCGUCUGCUACUGCCUUUGCCAUCUCUGUUCUGUUGAUGUGUUUAUUUGUGGUUGUAUCAUUCAUGCACAUCAGCAUGGCAAAAUCUAGGAUUACAAGUAUGAAUGUGAUCAUCAAGAUUUUGACAGAAAGAUAUAAAGAGGUGAGAGUAGAUGCAAAAAUUCUAAUGGAAUUGGAAGAAAGCAGGAAAAGAAGGCUAGCAGCAAAUGUUGUGGAUAACAGUGAAGAUCCUAUUGUGGACAUGGAUUUUUUUAUUGCCAGAACUAAAACUAUUUGUGAUGCUACAGAUUCUUCUGACUUUGAGAAAGUUUACCAUAAGAUAAUCUAUAUGUCUUGGGGGAUUGAAGGUA